CAAAAUCUCCUGGACCACAAAUAACGAGAAGCUGUCGCUCGAAUACGGCUGAAAUUCAUCGAGAUUCGGCAACAAGAAGCACCAAUUGAAGACCGAAAUCCUAUGAAGAUGUGUAAAGGACGUGCCAUCCACGUAGCUAAUAACGACUACUUGAUCUUGAAGCCUAGUAAGACCGCCACUUGUGUAAACCCGAAGAGAUCGCCGUAGCCUGACAGCGCUCCGUAUCGCGGAUCGGACGUCGCAUCGAGGAGCAGAAGUCCGGUCGUCCAUUCGAAUGGGUAAAAGUUCGCGUCUCUUCUCGCAAAAGCAGAGAGCUCGAAUUCGCUGUUGCUUUCGCGAAGAAUUGCCGUUCAGUUGUCAUAG